AGUGAACGCUGGCGGUAGGCCUAACACAUGCAAGUCGAACGGCAGCACAGUAAGAGCUUGCUCUUACGGGUGGCGAGUGGCGGACGGGUGAGGAAUACAUCGGAAUCUACUUUUUCGUGGGGGAUAACGUAGGGAAACUUACGCUAAUACCGCAUACGACCUACGGGUGAAAGCAGGGGAUCUUCGGACCUUGCGCGAUUGAAUGAGCCGAUGUCGGAUUAGCUAGUUGGCGGGGUAAAGGCCCACCAAGGCGACGAUCCGUAGCUGGUCUGAGAGGAUGAUCAGCCACACUGGAACUGAGACACGGUCCAGACUCCUACGGGAGGCAGCAGUGGGGAAUAUUGGACAAGGGGCGCAAGCCUGAUCCAGCCAUACCGCGUGGGUGAAGAAGGCCUUCGGUUUGUAAAGCCCUUUUGUUGGGAAAGAAAAGCAGCAGGUUAAUACCCCGCUGUUCUGACGGUACCCAAAGAAUAAGCACCGGCUAACUUCGUG
rnacentral:rRNA from 1 species